GUCAUUGGGGUUUACCUGGAGCCAUGCGGCAGAUUCAGUGUGUAUUUAUUAUUAUUACUAUAGUAAUGAUUAAUAAUGAACACACACAAACUUGAGUAUUUCAUAGAAAAAGGGCAAGCAGGAAAACACUAGCAGCUUGACAGUUUUUGGACUGAAUAAGUGUGUGGUGUUUUGAUGAGUCAGAAGGACCUCCCACUGAUCUGUCUCCACAGAGUGCCUUGCUCUGUCUGAGUCUGCCAUCUACACAGUGGUACACACUGUCUGCCUGUCACAUUAACAAACACUAAAUGGGUCAAAUAAGGUGCUGUAAGGCUGUUCUGCUAGCAGACCCACUGCAACGUAAUGGCAAAGAAGUGGACUCAAGAACCACGAUUGAUUCACAUUCACCAGAUCACAAUCACCUGAUUACUGAUUCCUUGCACCUGUCAGCGAUCACCCGUCAGCUCUAUAAAACUGCACUCCUCCUGUUCACUCACUGUCUGGUCUCUACCUUACCUUGUUGUGUUCCCGGAUCAACUUACCUGCGCUUCACUUACCUGUUGUUACUUCUGGCUGUCCUAGCUCCCCUCAGCUCCUGCUCUCCGUUGUCUCCUCGCUCUUCAACAACUGGAUCUCCUACGAAAGAAACAAAGACUGUAUCACUCAUAGAUAAGCUUCACUAAGACAUUCCCUCUCCCAACCUGCUUACCUGGAUUGCUAUUACUGCUGUGUUGUGGAUCAUCUCUGUUCAAUAAACCUGCUGUUGUUUAUAUCACUUA